AAGUCGUAACAAGGUUUCCGUAGGUGAACCUGCGGAAGGAUCAUUAACCGUGUCUGUUGAGACAUGUGAUGUGGUGUGUGACGUAUGUGGCCUACCCGGUCAUGUUUUUUAUUCUUUUACGGUUCAUCUAAUCCAACCAAUAACCAGUAAAACUGGCAGCAAUGGAUCCCUCGGUUCUC
rnacentral:misc_RNA from 1 species